rnacentral:sRNA from 1 species
UAAGAAUGAACCCGUUGCCUGUUUAACUGC